rnacentral:rRNA from 1 species
CCUACGGGAGGCAGCAGUGGGGAAUAUUGCACAAUGGGGGAAACCCUGAUGCAGCGACGCCGCGUGAGUGAAGAAGGAAUUCGUUACGUAAAGCUCUAUCAGCAGGGAAGAAAAUGGCGGUACCUGAGUCAGAAGCCACUGCUAACUACGUGCCAGCAGCCGCGGUAAUACGUAGGGGGCAAGCGUUAUCCGGAUUUACUGGGUGAAAAGGGAGCGGAGACGGUGCGGCAAGUCUGGAGUGAAAUGCCGCAGCUGAACUGCGGAACUGCUUUGGAAACUGGCGAACUAGAGUGCGGGAGGGGUAAGCAGAAUUCCUGGUGUAGCGGUGAAAUGCGUAGAGAUUAGGAGGAACACCGGUGGCGAAGGCGGCUUACUGGACCGUAACUGACGUUGAGGCUCGAAAGCGUGGGGAGCAAACAGGAUUAGAUACCCCUGUAGUC